rnacentral:rRNA from 1 species
UACAGAGGGGGCAAGCGUUGUUCGGAAUUACUGGGCGUAAAGAGCGUGUAGGCGGUCAGGUAGGUCCGUUGUGAAAACUCGAGGCUCAACCUCGAGACGCCGAUGGAAACCAUCUGACUAGAGUCCGGAAGAGGAGAGUGGAAUUCCUGGUGUAGCGGUGAAAUGCGCAGAUAUCAGGAAGAACACCCGUGGCUAAGGCGGCUCUCUAGUACGGUACUGACGCUGAGACGCGAAAGCGUGGGGAGCGAACAGG